AUGCUUUGGCAGCACAUAUACUACAACUGGAAUGAUACAGAGAAGAUUUGCAUGGCCACUGCUCAAAGCACAGUCUUCUUAAUCUUAGCUAGAAGCAGCAUAUAAUA